rnacentral:rRNA from 1 species
AUUGAACGCUGGCGGCAUGCCUUACACAUGCAAGUCGAACGGUAACAGGUCUUCGGAUGCUGACGAGUGGCGAACGGGUGAGUAAUACAUCGGAACGUGCCCGAUCGUGGGGGAUAACGGAGCGAAAGCUUUGCUAAUACCGCAUACGAUCUACGGAUGAAAGCAGGGGACCGCAAGGCCUUGCGCGGACGGAGCGGCCGAUGGCAGAUUAGGUAGUUGGUGGGAUAAAAGCUUACCAAGCCGACGAUCUGUAGCUGGUCUGAGAGGACGACCAGCCACACUGGGACUGAGACACGGCCCAGACUCCUACGGGAGGCAGCAGUGGGGAAUUUUGGACAAUGGGCGCAAGCCUGAUCCAGCCAUGCCGCGUGCAGGAUGAAGGCCCUACGGGUUGUAAACUGCUUUUCACGGGAAGAACCGUACCGACGUGUACGAAGACGUCGACGUACCGUGGGAACUAAGACAAUCGCCGUAACUACCGUAGUCCACGCAGCCGCCGGUAAACGUAACG